UGGCUGUGAUUGGAAUUUAGAGAAUGUCAUGCACCACUCUGAUCUAGUGAUGAUAAUCUCUCAACCCAUACAAUUUCUGAGCCU